ACUAUUAUGUUGAGAUAUUGCAGCAGAGCAGAAAAUGUAUUCAUUAAUAAUAAUUUUGGACUCAUGGCAUACGAGGUUUUAGUGAUAAGUUCUGAGCCUCAAAUAGAAAUGCUUGACCUAAGGACAUUAAAAUGAUUUCGUUUUUUCAACAUGUUCCCUUUUUACAUCGGUACACUUUUGUCAACGAUGUUGGAGGGAUGUUAUUCCCGUUUCGCGGAAUCCUUCUCUUGACUGUCUAAAACGUUCUCCACGGCUGCUAUGACGUAAUCGUUCGAGUCGAAGUGGGUUCCGGCUAGAGCUCUCCUCAUGUUUGGGAACAGACAAAAGUCUGACGAAGCCAGGUCAGGAGAAGAAGGUGGGUGCUGAAGGACUUCAAAGCCACACUGACCAUGGUGGAUUGAAGCCAUGGCAAUGAUUGAUUUGUGUACUGCAUCAGUGUCCUCGUGGAAGAUAUUUCAGAUAUCCUUAAUUUUAAUUUAAUCCAGCAAUUGACUCAAAGUUAAAGCAUAAUAUGCUCCGUUUAUUGUCCGGCCUUUUGGAGGAUAGUCCACCGUGAGGACACCCUCAGCAGCCCAGAACACGGAGGCCAUGACCUUUCAAGCUGAUGGUGGUGCGGAUGUCAAAUGAUUCUACUGUUUGGGUUACUGUUUGGACACAAGUGGCGGACCAAGGUUUCAUCCAGUCACAAAUCGUUGCAAAAACCGUUCUGGAUGAGCUAAACAGGGCUAUAUUAUCACAAGGCUUGUUGUGCCUGGUGCGUUUUUGAUAGAUGUCAGAAACUUUGGAAUUCACGGAACUUACACCUUCAUUGCUUAAGGUUUCUAUGAUAUGCUUACUGAACUCGCUGAGUCAUUCGCCGGUCGGUCAUCACCGUAGCAUGGAUUCUCACACGUCGUGACGUUACAGGCUUUCCUAGACUGAUGACGUCCACAAGGCUCUUCCUGCCACGACUAACUCUGCUGCCCACCUCUUUACGUUGACAUAGUGAGGGGCAUCUUCAGUAGACUCAACCUCUAUAUCUCGCAAUGUCUACACCAAAAGAUGUCAUUUUACACAUUUCCUUCAAUGUGAGGCUCAGAACUUAUCAGUCAACCCUCGUAUAUGACAACAUGUACUUCUAAAUGCUAAAUAAAGCGACAAAACCUUUUCCAUAUCCAACAAAAAAUCUCUGCAUAAAGCAUGUGACAAGAGGGCUUUUAUUUAUUGGCAUGUUGUACUAUUUAAAAAUAAUUAAUUAACGUAAUUAAUUAAUGUUGACAUAUUUAACAUGACAGAUGAAGAGAACUCAUCUAAGUCCCUAUUGCAACAAGUCGUGUAGUAUUUCAAAACCUUCCUUGACGUCAUCCUGUAAAGGUCUUUGUUAUAUCUGAUGAAAACAAUUAAGAGGUCAUUCAGUAGAAUAUCAUAGGGAUAGUCGAUUAAUAUGUGUUCUGUGGAAUAUCCAUAGUUUCAAUGGUAUUUUAUAGAACCAUCAGUUUUGAAAUCUCAUUAUAAACCUAUUCAUUGGGAUCUCUAUUAAGUAAGAGAGUUCUUUCUAUAAGCAUUAAAAACAAUUGUGAGGUUUUACUAUCAAAGUAAAACCUAUUAAGAGGUUUUACUUUCAAAGUAAAACCUAUUAAGAGGUUUUAUUUUCGUUAUAACGUUAACCAUGUUAUAAAUGUUAUAACGAGUAUCUAUAAAUGAGGCGCUUCAUUAUAGCGCUUCCUUGAAGACGUGAUAUCAUAACUUGCACGUGAAAUUCGCUGACUUGCCAGGCGUUCAAGAGCACUUGGAUGUGUCAACAACAAAACACAACUAAAAUACUUACUUUUAAAUGAAAGUGAAAUCUUCGGUUUCUAAAUGUUUGUGUUGCAAUAUUCCACUUCUUUUAAACUUUUCAAAACGAACAUUCGCAAAUUUUAAAGGUGUUUUUUGCUUUACAAGAUUUUCGACUUUAAACAAUCCAACUGUUACGUGAAGGUAGUUGUGACGUAACGGCUAACAGUUACUGCACGAGCAAAUUGUGCAGCAUUGAUAAGCACUUGUUUAAAAGCACGUGUUUUGAAACCUCGCUGUCCUUUCACCAGAGACUCUGAAGUGAUGUCACUUUUAAAUGUCCACGCGGAGUUGUACACAUGACAUUCAAUUUUAAUUGAAUUAAAAUUUUGAAUUGCUA